GUCAAGUGCGGCGUUUCUUGUCUCCUCCUCUCAUUUUUCUCUGCGAGACCUCAGCAUCAUUGUGAGGAAAAAAAGAAGGAAGACAAAUCUUUAGAGCUCCUUUAUUUUCAAGUCUUAAUCAUCUCCAAAAAAAAAAAAAAAAUGGCUGAACGAGUCUACCCCGCCGAUUCACCACCAGAAAGCGGACAAUUCUCCGGCAACUUCAGCUCCGGCGAGUUUCCAAGAAAACCAGCACCACCACCAUCUACAUACGUAAUCCAAGUCCCUAAAGAUCAGAUUUACCGUAUCC